UUCCAGCGUCUCAAAGCCUGAUCUCAUCAAACCUCAGAAGCUCCGCAUGCCAGGUCUGGUUAGUACUUGGAUGAGAGACCUCUGGGAAUAUGGGAAAAAAAC
rnacentral:rRNA from 1 species